UACGUAGGAUGCAAGCGUUGUCCGGAUUUAUUGGGCGUAAAGAGCGCGUAGGUGGUGUCUUAAGUUGGGCGUGAAAUCUCCCGGCUUAACUGGGAAGGGUCGUCCAAAACUAAGAUGCUUGAGGGCAGCAGAGGAAAGUGGAAUUCCGGGUGUAGUGGUGAAAUGCGUAGAUAUCCGGAGGAACACCAGUGGCGAAGGCGGCUUUCUGGGCUGUUCCUGACACUGAGGCGCGAAGGCUAGGGUAG
rnacentral:rRNA from 1 species